rnacentral:rRNA from 1 species
GACAGAGGGUGCAAACGUUGUUCGGAAUUACUGGGCGUAAAGCGUGUGUAGGCGGUCUCAUAAGUCGGGUGUGAAAGCCCCGGGCUCAACCCGGGAAGUGCACUCGAAACUGCGAGGCUAGAGUACUGGAGAGGUUGGUGGAAUUCUCGGUGUAGAGGUGAAAUUCGUAUAUAUCGAGAGGACCACCGGUGGCGAAGGCGGCCAACUGGACAGAUACUGACGCUGAGACACGAAAGCGUGGGGAGCAAACAGG